rnacentral:tRNA from 1 species
CAAGAAGUAGUUUAAUUAGAAUACCAGCUUUGGGUGCUGGUGGUGGGGAGUAAUACCUCCUNCUUGA